UUGUUCAUUGUUGGUAUAUAUUGAGUUCAUAAAGUUUAGUGUGUGUAACAUGUUGCUUAUUGUAAUGAACUUAGAGUAUAACUUAAUGAACGUGUAGCUUUUGAACAAAUAACUGAAAAAUAUUUUUUGGUUAUUGUAAUGAACUUAAAGCAUAAAGUAAUGAACUUAGAGUAUAAAGUAAUGAACUUCGACGUUGGUUGCCGAAGGAUGUUGCGGCCAUUGGUUGGGG
rnacentral:lncRNA from 1 species